rnacentral:rRNA from 1 species
UUGAACUGAAGAGUUUGAUCCUGGCUCAGAUUGAACGCUGGCGGCAUGCCUUACACAUGCAAGUCGAACGGCAGCACGGGCUUCGGCCUGGUGGCGAGUGGCGAACGGGUGAGUAAUACAUCGGAACAUGUCCUGUAGUGGGGGAUAGCCCGGCGAAAGCCGGAUUAAUACCGCAUACGAUCCACGGAUGAAAGCGGGGGACCUUCGGGCCUCGCGCUAUAGGGUUGGCCGAUGGCUGAUUAGCUAGUUGGUGGGGUAAAGGCCUACCAAGGCGACGAUCAGUAGCUGGUCUGAGAGGACGACCAGCCACACUGGGACUGAGACACGGCCCAGACUCCUACGGGAGGCAGCAGUGGGGAAUUUUGGACAAUGGGCGCAAGCCUGAUCCAGCAAUGCCGCGUGUGUGAAGAAGGCCUUCGGGUUGUAAAGCACUUUUGUCCGGAAAGAAAUCCCUGGUCCUAAUACGAUCGGGGGAUGACGGUACCG